CAGACUCUCACUAUGUCCAGUUCCAUGUAGCUUUGGUGAAUAAAGAACCAAAGCAUCUGGCUACAGCCCUGUGUUAUGAGCAGUCCACAGCAUGUGUAGUGGUGAAACGGCAGUCUUUUGAGGGUUCCAAAAAAAACAUGUUUACAGAAAGUGACAUUGAAUCUAUACUACAGAACAACAAGGAACAUGUGCGCAUUUCUCAACCUACAGGUUCACCUGUGCACUCAAGAGACGAGUUGUGAAAGCAGCCAUUUGCCUGCAACUGAAUAAGGGAUGGCUUGUUGUCAUGAUAUUGUGUUUUUUAAGUGUCAGUAUAAUAAAGACA